AGAUUACAUGAAGUGGAUGCUUAAUACAUUUGCUCAUCCGUUUUCUGAGUGCAAUUAGUAUAUCAAUAUAAGAAGAUACUUUUUAUUUUUUAAAAAAAGUAUAUCAAUAUUAGUAGGAAAGUGAUUCUCAGAGCUUACUUCAUUUCCAGUGCUAGACUCAAAUUCUUGAAAUAGCUUUGAAUUAGAGUCCAAGGUUUUCUUCUUGAAUACCCUUGGGAAAAUUGUGGAUCUUAUAUGACUUGAGGUUUAGACUU
rnacentral:lncRNA from 1 species